rnacentral:rRNA from 1 species
AACGAACGCUGGCGGCAUGCCUAACACAUGCAAGUCGAACGAAACUUUCGGGUCUCGUGGCGCACGGGUGCGUAACGAGUGGGAACCUGCCCUUAGGUUCGGAAUAACUACCCGCAAGGGGUGCAAAAACCGGAUAAUGUCUUCGGACCAAAGAUUUAUUGCCUUUGGUUGGGCGCGCGCUGGAUUAGCUAGUUGGUAGGGUAAAAGCCUACCAAGGCGACGAUCCAUAGCUGGUGUGAGAGGAUGAUCAGACACACUGGGACUGAGACACGGUACAGACUCCUCCACGAGGCAGGAGUGGGGAAUAUAGCACAAUGGGCGAAAGCCUGAUCCAGCAAUGCCGCGUAAGUGAUGAAGUCAUUAGGGUUGUAAAGCUAUUUUACCCGGGAUGAUAUUGACAGUACCGAGACAAAAAGCCCCGGCUAACUCCGUG